UCCUCCAAGGCUAAAUACUCCUGACUGACCGAUAGUGAACCAGUACCGUGAGGGAAAGGCGAAAAGAACCCCGGCGAGGGGAGUGAAAAAGAACCUGAAACCGUGUACGUACAAGCAGUGGGAGCACAGGUUUACCUGUGUGACUGCGUACCUUUUGUAUAAUGGGUCAGCGACUUAUAUUCUGUAGCAAGGUUAACCGAAUAGGGGAGCCGGAGGGAAACCGAGUCUUAAUUGGGCGUUAAGUUGCAGGGUAUAGACCCGAAACCCGGUGAUCUAGCCAUGGGCAGGUUGAAGGUUGGGUAACACUAACUGGAGGACCGAACCGACUAAUGUUGAAAAAUUAGCGGAUGACCUGUGGCUGGGGGUGAAAGGCCAAUCAAACCGGGAGAUAGCUGGUUCUCCCCGAAAGCUAUUUAGGUAGCGCCUCGUGAAUUCAUCUCCGGGGGUAGAGCACUGUUUCGGCUAGGGGGCCAUCCCGGCUUACCAACCCGAUGCAAACUGCGAAUACCGGAGAAUGUUAUCACGGGAGACACACGGCGGGUGCUAACGUCCGUCGUGAAGAGGGAAACAACCCAGACCGCCAGCUAAGGUCCCAAAGUCAUGGUUAAGUGGGAAACGAUGUGGGAAGGCCCAGACAGCCAGGAUGUUGGCUUAGAAGCAGCCAUCAUUUAAAGAAAGCGUAAUAGCUCACUGGUCGAGUCGGCCUGCGCGGAAGAUGUAACGGGGCUAAACCAUGCACCGAAGCUGCGGCAGCGA
rnacentral:rRNA from 2 species